rnacentral:rRNA from 1 species
GAUGAACGCUGACAGAAUGCUUAACACAUGCAAGUCAUUGGCGAAGCUGCGCUUGCGCAGUCUAGCCAAGGCGGACGGGUGAGUAACGCGUAAGGAACUUGCCCUGCAGACAGGGAUAACAGACGGAAACGACUGAUAACACCUGGUAUUGUCAGGCUGGCGCAUGCCGGCCUGAUGAAAGGAGACGCUGCAGGAGAGCCUUGCGUCCUAUUAGCUAGUUGGUGGGGUAACGGCCCACCAAGGCGAUGAUAGGUAGCCGGCCUGAGAGGGUGAACGGCCACAAGGGGACUGAGAUACGGCCCUUACUCCUACGGGAGACAGCAGUGGGGAAUAUUGGACAAUGGGGGCAACCCUGAUCCAGCAAUUCUGUGUGCACGAAGAAGGUUUUCGGAUUGUAAAGUGCUUUCAGCAGGGAAGAAGAAAGUGACGGUACCUGCAGAAGAAGCGACGGCUAAAUACGUG